AUUGAACGCUGGCGGCAUGCUUUACACAUGCAAGUCGAACGGUAACAGGCCGCAAGGUGCUGACGAGUGGCGAACGGGUGAGUAAUGCAUCGGAACGUGCCCAGUCGUGGGGGAUAACGCAGCGAAAGUUGCGCUAAUACCGCAUACGAUCUAUGGAUGAAAGCGGGGGACCGUAAGGCCUCGCGCGAUUGGAGCGGCCGAUGUCAGAUUAGGUAGUUGGUGGGGUAAAGGCUCACCAAGCCGACGAUCUGUAGCUGGUCUGAGAGGACGACCAGCCACAGUGGGACGGAGACACGGCCCAGACUCCUACGGGAGGCAGCAGUUGGGAAUUUUGGACAAUGGGCGCAAGCAUGAUCCAGCAAUGCCGCGUGCAGGAAGAAGGCCUUCGGGUUGUAAACUGCUUUUGUACGGAACGAAACGGUCCUGGUUAAUACCCGGGGCUAAUGACGGUACCGUAAGAAUAAGCACCGGCUAACUACGUGCCAGCCGCCGCGGUAAGAC
rnacentral:rRNA from 1 species